rnacentral:rRNA from 1 species
UGGGGAAUAUUGGACAAUGGGCGCAAGCCUGAUCCAGCCAUGCCGCGUGAGUGAAGAAGGCCCUAGGGUUGUAAAGCUCUUUCAACGGUGAAGAUAAUGACGGUAGCCGUAGAAGAAGCCCCGGCUAACUCCGUGCCAGCAGCCGCGGUAAUACGGAGGGGGCAAGCGUUGUUCGGAAUCACUGGGCGUAAAGCGCUCGUAGGCGGACUGGUCAGUCAGGGGUGAAAGCCCGAGGCUCAACCUCGGAACUGCCUUUGAUACUGCCAGUCUCGAGUCCGGAAGAGGUGAGUGGAAUUCCUAGUGUAGAGGUGAAAUUCGUAGAUAUUAGGAAGAACACCAGUGGCGAAGGCGGCUCACUGGUCCGGUACUGACGCUGAGGAGCGAAAGCGUGGGGAGCAAACAGGAUUAGAUACCCCCGUAGUCC